CUACGGGGGGCUCCAGUGGGGAAUAUUGCACAAUGGAGGAAACUCUGAUGCAGCAACGCCGCGUGGGGGAUGACACUUUUCGGAGCGUAAACUCCUUUUAUAUAGGAAGAAGAUGACGGUACUAUAUGAAUAAGCGCCGGCUAACUCCGUGCCAGCAGCCGCGGUAAUACGGAGGGCGCAAGCGUUACUCGGAAUCACUGGGCGUAAAGAGCGUGUAGGCGGAUUAAAAAGUCAGAAGUGAAAUCCUAUAGCUUAACUAUAGAACUGCUUCUGAAACUCUUAAUCUAGAAUAUGGGAGAGGUAGAUGGAAUUUCUGGUGUAGGGGUAAAAUCCGUAGAGAUCAGAAGGAAUACCGAUUGCGAAGGCGAUCUACUAGAACAUUAUUGACGCUGAGACGCGAAAGCGUGGGGAGCAAACAGGAUUAAAUACCCGCGUAGUC
rnacentral:rRNA from 1 species